rnacentral:rRNA from 1 species
CUGGGUUUGAACUCUAGAGGAAGGCUCCAGAGAUGGGGCGGUCCCUUCGGGGGACCUCUAAGAUAGGUGCUGCAUGGCUGUCGUCAGCUCGUGUCGUGAGAUGUUGGGUUAAGUCCCGCAACGAGCGCAACCCUUGUCCAUAGUUGCUAACGGGUCAAGCCGAGAACUCUAUGGAGACUGCCGGUGAUAAACCGGAGGAAGGUGGGGAUGACGUCAAGUCCUCAUGGCCUUUAUGUCCAGGGCUACACACGUGCUACAAUGGACGGUACAAAGAGUCGCAAAGCCGCGAGGUGGAGCUAAUCUCAAAAAGCCGUUCUCAGUUCGGAUUGCAGUCUGCAACUCGACUGCAUGAAGCUGGAAUCGCUAGUAAUCGCGGAUCAGAACGCCGCGGUGAAUACGU